AUAUCCGACUCCAAACAAACAAACGCAAACAGGAAACAGAAUGCCAAUAGAUGGACUUAUAUCCGACUCCAAACACACACACGCUAACAGGAAACAGAAUGCCAAUAGAUGGACUUAUAUCCGACUCCAAACAAACAAACGCAAACAGGAAACAGAAUGCCAAUAGAUGGACUUAUAUCCGACUCCAAACACACACACGCUAACAGGAAACAGAAUGCCAAUAGAUGGAC
rnacentral:lncRNA from 1 species